GAGGGUACAGCUCAGGGGUAGAGCAUGUGCCUAGCAUGCAUGAGGUCCUGAGUUCAAUCCUCAGUACCUCCA
rnacentral:tRNA from 1 species